UGUGAGACAAAUUGCAGAGGAUGAGAUUGAAGCCCAGGAAGGUGAAGUCACUUGUGCAAGCUCCCACAGUGCAUGCAAAGCAGAAUGAGAAAUGGAAACAAGAUCUGUGAAGCUGAGGUCCCACAAGGCACUGCGUUCUUUCACCCAACAAAUAUUUAUGGAGCAUCCACCCAUUUCCAGGCACCAUCUUGGAAGAGAUUCAGCCACAACCAAGGUUAUUUAAUUACAUCUUCAAAACAACCUCAUGGCAGGUAUUAUAAGCCCAUUUUACACACACG